AUUGAACGCUGGCGGCAGGCCUAACACAUGCAAGUCGAACGAGUGGCGGACGGGUGAGUAAUGUCUGGGAAACUGCCCGAUGGAGGGGGAUAACUACUGGAAACGGUAGCUAAUACCGCAUACCAUCGGAUGUGCCCAGAUGGGAUUAGCUAGUUGGUGAGGUAAAGGCUCACCAAGUCGACGAUCCAUAGCCGACCUGAGAGGGUGAUCGGCCACCUUGGGACUGAGCGACGGCCCAGACUCCUACGUGAGGCAGCAGUGGGGAAUUUUGGACAAUGGUGGAAACCCUGAUCCAGCCAUCCCGCGUGUGCGAUGAAGGCCUUCGGGUUGUAAAGCACUUUUGGCAGGAAAGCGGUACCUGCAGAAUAAGCACCGGCUAACUACGUGCCAGCAGCCGCGGUAAUUC
rnacentral:rRNA from 1 species